ACGAACGCUGGCGGCGUGCUUAACACAUGCAAGUCGAACGGAAAGGCCCUGCUUUUGUGGGGUGCUCGAGUGGCGAACGGGUGAGUAACACGUGAGUAACCUGCCCUUGACUUUGGGAUAACUUCAGGAAACUGGGGCUAAUACCGGAUAGGAGCUCCUGCUGCAUGGUGGGGGUUGGAAAGUUUCGGCGGUUGGGGAUGGACUCGCGGCUUAUCAGCUUGUUGGUGGGGUAGUGGCUUACCAAGGCUUUGACGGGUAGCCGGCCUGAGAGGGUGACCGGGCACAUUGGGACUGAGAGACGGCCCAGACUCCUACGGGAGGCAGCAGUGGGGAAUAUUGCACAAUGGGCGGAAGCCUGAUGCAGCAACGCCGCGUGCGGGAUGACGGCCUUCGGGUUGUAAACCGCUUUCGCCUGUGACGAAGCGUGAGUGACGGUAAUGGGUAAAGAAGCACCGGCUAACUACGUG
rnacentral:rRNA from 1 species